UAAAGUUUUAUUCUGGCUAAAAAUUUAUUUUAUAUAAAUAAUAUAUGUAAAUUUUUGUAUAGUUCAUAAAUUUAAUAUUUAUGAUUUUUAAUUAUGCAGUAUUUUUAUUUAAAAAUUUAAGGGAUUAAGAUUUAGUAAAUUAUAAUAAUAUUGGCUAAGUUUGUGCCAGCGGCUGCGGUUAUACAGACAAUAUAAAUAAAUUUUUUUAGUUAAUAAUUAAUUAUUUAUUUAUAAUUAAGAAGUGAAUUUUUUAGGUGAAAUUUAAAAUUUAUGGAAGUUUUAAUUGGUAGAUGAUUUAUUAAAUUUUAUUUAAAACUAGGAUUAGAUACCCUAUUAUUAAAAAUGUAAAUAUAAAUACUAGGGUAGUAGUAGUUAUGUUCUUGAAAUCAAAAGAAUUUGGCGGUAUUUUAGUCUUUUCAGAGGAACCUGUCCUGUAAUUGAUGGUCCACGAUUGAUAAUAUCUUUUUUUAUAGGCUUGUAUAUCGUCGUAGUUUGAAUAUUUUAUAAGAAAAUUAAAUAUUCAUGAUUUUAGAUUAAAGAUUAAAUCAGAUCAAGGUGCAGUGAAUAAAAAGAUAGAGAUGGGUUACAAUAAAUUUAUUUAUACGGAUUAUUGAUUGAUAUAUUAAUAUAAAGGAGGAUUUGAAAGUAAUUUUAUUUACUUAAAUAAAAUGAUUUAAGCUCUAGGAUAUGCACAUAUCGCCCGUCGCUCCUGGAAUAAAUUAGGAUAAGUCGUAACAAAGUAGGUGUACUGGAAAGUGUACCUAGAAUGAC
rnacentral:ncRNA from 1 species